GACGAACGCUGGCGGCGUGCUUAACACAUGCAAGUCGAACGGAAAGGCCCUGCUUUUGUGGGGUGCUCGAGUGGCGAACGGGUGAGUAACACGUGAGUAACCUGCCCUUGACUUUGGGAUAACUUCAGGAAACUGGGGCUAAUACCGGAUAGGAGCUCCUGCUGCAUGGUGGGGGUUGGAAAGUUUCGGCGGUUGGGGAUGGACUCGCGGCUUAUCAGCUUGUUGGUGGGGUAGUGGCUUACCAAGGCUUUGACGGGUAGCCGGCCUGAGAGGGUGACCGGCCACAUUGGGACUGAGAUACGGCCCAGACUCCUACGGGGGGCAGCGGUGGGGGAUAUUGCACAAUGGGCGGAAGCCUGAUGCAGCAACGCCGCGUGCGGGAUGACGGCCUUCGGGUUGUAAACCGCUUUCGCCUGUGACGAAGCGUGAGUGACGGUAAUGGGUAAAGAAGCACCGGCUAACUACGUG
rnacentral:rRNA from 1 species